rnacentral:lncRNA from 1 species
UUUUUUUUUUUUUAUGGUUGCUUUUUUGGCUUUGUUUUGGUUUUAUACCCUACAAGAAAAUGAUCUUCAGCUGUUAGCAGUUUUUGAUAAAACUCAAGAACAGGGUGAGAAAAGGAUUGUGAAUAACGCUCUGAAAGCGCUAAAGCACCAUUUGUGACUUCUCUGUUCAGUUUGUGGUUUUCACAGUCUGAACUUUUCUUCUCUCUAUUGUUUCAGUAGUUGAAUAGUUGCUGGGUAGCUCUUCUUAACAGCAAGGUCAUACGAAGUAUUUUAAAAUAGAAAAGUAUCUUUUAAGAAUCAAUUAGUUCUUUCAGAAGAAGAAUUCUGAAGAUUUUGUUUCAUCUUAUAACUGGAGAAACUGAGGCUGGAGAUUAUAACUUACCUGAGGCUUUGGAGUGCUUAUGUGUCAGAAGAGCGAGCGAUGGUGAACAGGCUGUCCUGACUUCUGAAACUGGCUUGAUGCACCUAUGCCUUGAACUUUAUUAUUUUUUAAUUCCUCUGGCUGGCAGCGGGGAGGAAGGGGACCUUGAAGGCUGGAGUGAUCUCUCCAAUGGAUGGGCAUAGCUGGUUUUCACAAUAAUGGCAGACAGUAGAUUUUUGUGUGUUAUGAUUGAGAGCUUGUUAGACCUGAGAUUGUUGAGGGGUUGGGGUUUUCUUACCUUUUUGGAAUGUGAGGGUUUUUAUUGUUUUGAGGGGUUUUGUUUAUUUGGGAUUUUUUUUUCGAGGGGGGAGGGUUGGCUCCCCUGUCAAACCCUGGCUUCUUGGUUGCUUCCUCUUUGGGUAUGGUGUUCUUUUAAAACAGCAUUUUAACUGCUCUUAUGCAAAGGAAAUAGCAGGAGAAAACCAUGAAAUUCCUAUAAAAUGUAGCUUGAUAAACAUAGGGGUGUCUCAUGGAGUGGGAGGAAAAAAAUCUGUAUAUUGUGAUUCAGCAAUGUCUUAUGAGUGCUUCUGUUUGUAGGGCUUUCCAUAAGCAAUUUGUCUAUAAAUUUCUUUUGUCCUUUUUGCAAUAGUAUAUGAUCCUGCGUUCAGUUGGCUUGAUUUUCUGCAAUAUAACCUGACAUGCCCAGUGAUAUAACACUAGGUGGAAGCCAUCUUUUAUCAAGUGGUUUUUGGUUUUGUUUUUUUUUUUUCUUGAAAACAUCCAGUCCUAGUUAGUACAGCCUGUCAACUCUUGUGAAAGACAUAAAGCCUUGCAAAGACAAGAUAGUUUUCCUUUUUGUUAGUUGGCUAACUUAUGUUGAAUACUGUAAGCUCAGACUGGCAGAAUGCUUUG